CUAACACAGAAAGCACAGAGCGGUUACAGGGGAGUGCUUUCGCUAUGAGUGAAUAUUGUCACUUUGUACCAUUUAUCAGUAAAUGACAGUGGAACUGACUAAUGUUACAGCUCUACUAGCACAAGAAGAGGACCGCUCUCAGCAUGAUUCAUUCCCAGCACUGUAACUACACCGAAUAAGCUAAAUGUAUGGUGUGUAGCGGUGUCCUGAAUGAGGCAGAGUUGAUGCAGAUUAGCCUUUGGUGCUGCAGAUGAAGGCCAGAAGGACAUGCUGUGCGAGAGGAGAGGGUGAGGACGAGGGAGGCGCUAACCCUGGACACAUGG